GCCGCUGUCGCGACCGCCCGUGUACUGUGUGUGUUUAUAUAAUGGAUAUUGUCACCCUAGACCCUACUGGACUUUACUAAAAUGGAGGCCACCCUCGACCCGACUGGACAAUACUAGAUUCGUCCUUACGCACGAUGUUCGGCCUCGAUCCCACGGAGAUAUACUGACUUCGAGAUGUGCUGUGGCAGACGCAGGAUCAGGACUGGUAGCCGUCCGGAGGAGACGUCGUCCUGCAGGAAAAGAAGGAACUCGGAGGCCGGAGCCGCGCGACUGUAAAUAGUAAUGGACGUGCCCGCAAGGUCACAUGAAAAACAGCUGAUUUGCGCGCCGCGUGCGAUGCCGGGAACGCAACUUCGAAUUUCGAACAUCGACUUUUUUUAUGUACCGAAAAAAUGAAGAUGCAACUCCACCCGGCUCCGUCUGAACUGCGCAAUACUCACUAGUUAUAGUUUUCGACUGAAUUCUUUAUAAUCUGCACAUAUCUUCAUGCAUUUGUUAUUUUAUAUUAUAAUUUAUUUAUAUUAUAAGUGUUGAUGCAAUUUUUCUGAUACAGACAAUGUAUUAGUAAAAUAUCAUCGAAUAUAUUUUACGUAGAUUAAGAAAAGGACAAGCAAAAUGAGGCAUAGGGUAUUUUGACAGGUUUUCUUAUUUCGACUGUACAUUUAAAGAAACCUUCAAAAGAGACCAUUUAUUCUGAAAUUAUACGUUAGGUUUUAGUUUCGAAUUCAUAACUUCUGCAUAAUUCGAGUUACCAUUUUGAAAUGCUUGGAAAAAUGUAAAUAAAAUAUUGCUUUUUUUCUAUCUACUAUUGUACAGUGCCGGAUUUAUAUUUUUUAUGAUUGUAGGCCAAAAUCUGCCGCCCCUAAGCCGCGGCUUAUAGGGCCUAUUUAUAAAUCCUGGGCUGCUAUUAUAACGAAUAUAUUGGAGACUGCUAGCCGGCCUAUUCAGUGUUGCCAUUUAAGACUGAAUGACAAAUAUUUUAGUUUUAAUUUAUUUGAAUGUCUAUAAUCGUUGUCGCCCCGUGGUACCCACCCUAGCUUUAUAGAAAUAUAAUUUGUACGAAAAUCAAUUAGAUAUAGGGGAUAAUAAAGAUGUUAUUAUUGUAUCUA